rnacentral:lncRNA from 1 species
AUCUCUCUCUCAGCCUCACUCUCUCGCUAGUCCAACGUCAGUCUUACUCCCUCUCUCGCUUUCCCUCGUUAUUUCCAUUUUGUUGUGUAUCAAUCCCCCUCUAAUCCUCACUCUCUCGCUAGUCCAGCGUUAGCCCACUUCUUCUUCUUCUUCUUCCAGUUUGCGCAACUCCCUCUUUUGCUCCUGCAUCUGCUCAGUGGCGCAGCCUUCCUCAUUUUUAUGCUCUAACAACGCGAGUCACUUGCCUAAGGAUCUUCUUGUUGCAACCAUGCGCGAAUC